rnacentral:rRNA from 1 species
AGUUUGAUCAUGGCUCAGAACGAACGCUGGCGGCAUGCCUAACACAUGCAAGUCGAACGAGACCUUCGGGUCUAGUGGCGCACGGGUGCGUAACGCGUGGGAAUCUGCCCUUUGCUUCGGAAUAACAGUUAGAAAUGACUGCUAAUACCGGAUGAUGUCUUCGGACCAAAGAUUUAUCGGCAAAGGAUGAGCCCGCGUAGGAUUAGGUAGUUGGUGGGGUAAAGGCCUACCAAGCCGACGAUCCUUAGCUGGUCUGAGAGGAUGAUCAGCCACACUGGGACUGAGACACGGCCCAGACUCCUACGGGAGGCAGCAGUGGGGAAUAUUGGACAAUGGGCGCAAGCCUGAUCCAGCAAUGCCGCGUGAGUGAUGAAGGCCUUCGGGUCGUAAAGCUCUUUUACCAGGGAUGAUAAUGACAGUACCUGGAGAAUAAGCUCCGGCUAACUCCGUG